rnacentral:lncRNA from 1 species
AAGCUCCUUAAAUUCAAUAAUGUCUCUUUUUUUUUUUUCUCUUAGUACCUCAGCUGUUGAAAACUAAGUUCACUUAUGUCAUCAUGGGCUGAAAAGCUAAGUGCCUGGUUUCUUCCUGUGUUCAGCUGCCAGUACAGAGAUGUGCAGAGCAAAACUCAGACUACCUCUAAGGCACUGGAGGGUAAGAAGGAGAUCAAGAUGCAAAACAACCAGCAUGUAGCUGAGGUGAGAAGGAGUAACAUAUACCCUGUCAUCUACAUGUCUGCAAGCAGUUCUCCAUGGCAUUACAUUCCUUGCAGUGCCUGCAGAUACUCACAAAAGUGAAAAAGAAGUCUGAGGAGCUGGCUGAAGAGAAGACCACACUGAUAGAAAUACAGAAUAUCUAUCUGUUAAUAAAAAUGUGAAGUUUAAAAUUUUGCA